CUUCCUCCCCGACCUGCCGCAGCAGCUCCUGGCUUGCUCGUGAGAGCUGCUGCCACGGCCCGGUGGAUUUUCUCCGGGGGUAUUUUCUGCCUGCACGGUUCCUGCCGGUUGUUUGGUCUGCCGGUCCUGCCAAGAGCCUGUGCUUGGGGAAUGCUGGAGCUGCUCCAGUUUCCCCGGAGCCUGCAUCUUCAGCUGCCUCCUCGUGACAUCCUCCUCCCUUCCCACGCCUGGCAUCCCCUCCGGGUACCGCUCGCCUGCCCUGGAUGGCUGCGAGCCUCCCCCGGCGUGGGGUUCCGGGGCUGGGAGUGUUUCUUUUCUCCUCCCAGCACCUCCAGCUUCAGCAAGUCCCAUGCGAUGGCCCUGCUCCCCCCUUCUAGGGCAAUUUCUGAGCCAGGCUGGGACCGGCCCUUUCCCCUGCACGGGUCAGAAAAGACCCGGAGCAGGCAGCCUCCUCGCUCCGUUAGCACGGAACCAGGGUGACGUGUCCCCUGCGUUAGCAGACCCUGGGACGCUGUGACCCAGAAAGCUGCUUCCCCUCCCUCUUUUCUAAAACAAGCCCAGCUGGUGUUUGCAGGAGCAACUCCUUCGAAGGGAGCCGGCAGAAGCAGCCCUCUCCGGGCUCUGCUCCACCAGGAUCUCAUCCGACGCUUUUCUUGUGGCCGGUGUUUGCAAAAUACAUCCCCCUCCCUGUGGUUCCUGUGGCAUCUGGGAAGCCGUGAGCUCGCCCUGCCCGUCCCCUUCCAGCGAAGUUAUGAGGCCGCUCUCCACCCUCGCCCCCUCAGCGGUCCUUCAGCCACCUCCGCCUUCCUCCGCGCCAGGGCAGGAUGGGGCCGGUGGGUUGGGGAGUGCUGAGCCUGGGGAAAGGAACAGCCCAGCUGCCGAAGAGCCACGGCCAGAACUGGAAACGGGUCACUGGCCACAUCAAAGGACCGCCCAGGAUGGUUGCCUGGGCUGGAGGGACGAGCCUUCACCCGGGAGAGAUCUCCCACCAAGGAAGGUUUAUGAGCCCAUCCUCUUCCUCCCCCUGGCCAGCUGGCUCUUGCCGGGGUUUGGCCAGUUGCCCUGACGUGAUGCUCGGCUAGUCACAGCCCCAAGCAUCGGGAGCUCCUGGGAGGGAUGCGGACCAAAGAUAAGGCUGCGUGGGGGGGGGGGGUCUCACAGUGCCCCUGGAAACCUGCCCAAGGGUGUCUUUGCUUCCCAGGCUGUGGGGAGGAGAGGAAGGGGUGUGCAAUGCUGUGUUUGUUCCUAUCGGGUGUCACCACACCAGCUGGAGCAGUGCUGCAGCCCGCAGAGCUAACCACAGUUAUUUUAGCAGGCUGAUGUUUAUGUUUACCUCCCUGCCUCAGCAAGGCAUUGCUUUUGGUUGCUCACGGUUUUAGCAACGACUGCUGCUCCAGACCAAGCUGAUUCCAGCCCUCUUGGGUCUGGGGCCGUUUGUUCUCACCCAACAGCAGCAAACAGGUAGUUUUGGAGAGAGGCGUCAAAAUAGCUAGUGUGGAGGGGGAAUUCCUGCCGCUCAGACUGGAUUUGUGCUGCAGCAUCAGGGCUGCCGAUGAGGGCUCCCUGGUCCCGUGGGAUGCUGCGUGCACUGAGGUUAGGAGGGGAUCUGGAAAGACCAGGCUUGCCAGGCCCUGGCUCAGACCUUGUCCUCUAGCUCUUGGACUUUGCAGCUGAACAGGCAAAAAAAACCCACAUGAAUCAGUUAAUUUGUCUGUUUUUCUGGGGCAAAACUGGAGCCACAGGUUGCAAACGUCUGCCCUGGCCUCUGCGUCCAGGAGCGGUGCCUGCAGCUGGGGCUGCAGCCUUUCCCCUGUGCCGUCUGCCCGGCUCUUGAGCUUGAAGCUUUGCAAUAACUCAGCUAUUUGAUAAAUCAGGGGAGCCAGAUGGGGAAGGAAAUCAGCCCUUUCCAUAUUUGCGAUUUUCACCAAACAUGGCAGGACCAGGCCAGCAGAAACAGGAGCAAAACCACGCGUUUCCCCUCCCUGCUCCCCUUUAUGCCCAUCCCAGCAGGGCUUGGUAUCGUGUGUGGGGCUCUGAUCUCGCCAGAGACCUCCCAAGCUCCUGGGAUCAGUUCACUCCCAUCUCCGGGCGAAGUUCAAAGCUUUCCCUUCGUUCCUGCCUGCAGCCACGGGGUGUUUAAUGCGCGGCCGGCAUUCCCUGCACGCCGGCGCCCUGGAUGUGAACCGCUGCUUUUCAGCUCUGUCUGAAAAGGAGCCGUCUUGGGGCCUCGCCUCUUAAUUGUGGAGGAGGUGGACAUGAAAAAGCCUCUGGCUGCUUUUAAUGCAGGCAAAGGCGGCUGCUCUCCUUCGCCCAGGCAUCCUGACAGCGGGGUGGUACCCGACCCAGAGCUCUCAUCCUGGGGGUGGUGAGAAACCCUCUGCCUGGUGCUGUUCCUGGUUUUGGGCUGGCAGGUCAGACAGGAGCGGGGAAAAACCCUUUCUGGAAGCUGGAGAUGGUGAAGAUGCUCGCAGAGGCUGGGAGCGUCGCUGCUCUCUAGACAUCAGGACCUCAGGGAUGCCGAGUCCUGCCAGAGCUGGGGCACGGCUGGUCCUGAGUGGGAACUCCCCACCCAGCCUCGCACCCCCGCUCCCCUCCUGCAUCCGAGAGCGGCCAGGCACGGUGUGGAGGUGGGAUGCGACGGCGGGCAUCGUGCCUCCAGCUCCUAGGACCGGCACCAGUGGCGAGGACCAGCGGCGGGGCUGGGGACCUGGGUCCCGCUAAGAGGAUGAAAACAUGGGGCUCAAGUUAUCCUGCCUGAAAGGCUUGAAGACGUGCGUGAGCAGCGGGAACGGCAACGACAGGACCCCGGCGGCAUCCCCAGGCGAGAAGAACCUGCAUGUGCCCUCCAUCAUCGUCACGCCGCCCACGCCCACGGGGACCAUGCUGUCCCGCGAGACCCGGCGGGUGGGGGGGCCACCGCCGUGCAGCCAGUGCUGAGCACGGGGACCUGGGGGGGGGAAAUCCAUCCCCACCGCACCGGGAUGGAGACGCAGCCGCCGGGAUGCAAACUGGCUGGAUCCAGCACCCCGGGAGCUCCCCGGGGACACACGGGUGGGUUUGGACACCGGUGACUGUUUUUUCUCUUUUUUUCCUAAAAGCACCGGGGAGGGGGCGGCAUCGCGCGGCAUCUCCCCGGUGAAUAAAACCCCUGGGGCUCUGCACCCCCCCAGGUUUGGCACCCA